rnacentral:rRNA from 1 species
AUUGAACGCUGGCGGCAGGCCUAACACAUGCAAGUCGAACGGUAACAGGAAGCAGCUUGCUGCUUUGCUGACGAGUGGCGGACGGGUGAGUAAUGUCUGGGAAACUGCCUGAUGGAGGGGGAUAACUACUGGAAACGGUAGCUAAUACCGCAUAACGUCGCAAGACCAAAGAGGGGGACCUUCGGGCCUCUUGCCAUCGGAUGUGCCCAGAUGGGAUUAGCUAGUAGGUGGGGUAACGGCUCACCUAGGCGACGAUCCCUAGCUGGUCUGACAGGAUGACCAGCCACACUGGAACUGAGACACGGUCCAGACUCCUACGGGAGGCAGCAGUGGGGAAUAUUGCACAAAGGGCGCAAGCCUGAUGCAGCCAUGCCGCGUGUAUGAAGAAGGCCUUCGGGUUGUAAAGUACUUUCAGCGGGGAGGAAGGGAGUAAAGUUAAUACCUUUGCUCAUUGACGUUACCCGCAGAAGAAGCACCGGCUAACUCCGUG